rnacentral:rRNA from 1 species
UACGUAGGGUGCAAGCGUUGUCCGGAAUUAUUGGGCGUAAAGAGCUCGUAGGCGGUUCGUCGCGUCGGCUGUGAAAACCCGGAGCUCAACUCCGGGCCUGCAGUCGAUACGGGCGGACUUGAGUGUUGCAGGGGAGACUGGAAUUCCUGGUGUAGCGGUGAAAUGCGCAGAUAUCAGGAGGAACACCGGUGGCGAAGGCGGGUCUCUGGGCCGAUACUGACGCUGAGGAGCGAAAGCAUGGGGAGCGAACAGG